AUCGCUUCUCGGCCUUUUGGCUCAGAUCAAGUGUAGUAUCUGUUCUUAUCAGUUUAAUAUCUGAUACGUCCCCCAUUCGGGGGACUACAUAUUAAAUGGAUUUUUCGGACAGGGAGUCGGAAAUGGGGCUUGCUC
rnacentral:snRNA from 8 species